AACCGUCCGUCGUCCAGGAUUUCUUCGGCCGGUUUUUUUCUCUGUUCAUCAGAUUGAGAAGGAUAACCCGGACGGAUGGAUGAGUCGGACCACAGCCAACCUGGACAUCGGAUUCCGAAUAAUAGCCAAUAACUCUACUCAUCAUCCUCCACUGAUUGAGGUCCCAGCCAUUCAACUUGACCGACACUAGUAAGGCACGUCAAAUUGAAAGUCGAUCCGCUCUGGAAAAUGUGAAUUUUCUUUUCCUGAUCCUGAAUCCGUCCAUGAAAUCGCCCAUCGUCAUGUUGGCUCGAAUCUGGAAAACAUAUACAAAGUGGCGUUGCUUGUUGACUGGCUGACAUCGUUCGAAUCUCGACACUGAUAGAUGCCCGAAGCUUUUUUGGGGACUGCCGUCCACCGGAUGCGACUGACGACGGACGCAAUGAAAGUGAAACCGAUAUCCUGAAAACGUGGAUUUACCUGGUGGGAGGCGAUUAUGGUCGAGUUCAACUACUGCACCGUUGGAUAUCCAUCGCCGAGGUUUGACUCGACGAUUCAACAGUGUCACUUUGACUCCACCACCUGAGAAUGUCAGCAUUUAUUACGCAAGUUCAGCCAAAAUAAGCAAGGCUGCGAAAAUAGUAUGCUAUCCAUAUUCUCGGCUGUUUACGACGAUGCUCACAACGUUGUCGCCCGCCAGCAGGACAUGUUGAGCCGACAAAUCUCCCUGCAACAACUGGGUGAAAAUAAUUCUCAAGGAGAUCACCGAAGCAUUUUUAAGGACCAUGCAAUCAAGUCGUGAGUGUAAACGACCGGACUAAGAGAGUCCGGUCGGAGUCGGGACUACGCACCAGCAGACAAGCAAGGUGGUGUUGCUUGCCAACUGGAUGGCAUCGUUCGUACCUCAACCCCCGAAGCUUCUUUUGGAUCUGCCGUCCACCGGAUGCGACUGACGACGGACGCAAUGAAAGUGAAACCGAUAUCCUGAAAACGUGAAUUUACCUGGUGGGAGGCGAUUAUGGUCGAGUUCAACUACUGCACCGUUGGAUAUCCAUCGCGAAGAUUAAACGACGGGCAGCCGGGCUCAGCACGGCAAUCUAUUUCGAGUCGAUUGCCAAGUUCCACUCCACGAGUUAACAGUGUCGCUUUGACUCCACCACCUGUCACAAUGUCAACAUUUAUUUCACGCAAGGUCAACCCCGUUUGAUGUUGCAUCCACCGGUGUCGAGGAUCGAAGGUGUUUACGAAGAUGACCUUCAUUCAGUUUCCCACCAGACAUCUCUAAUUGGACCCCACCAUCACCAAAGUACCUCAUCUGAUUUAAUUCUCUGCAAAUGAAACCUGGAAAUGCUCUGCGACA